AAAUCUGAGGGCUGCCCUAAUUUGCUCCAAUAAAAGAGCACCAAUUUCCUUGAGAGAGGGGGUCUUGAAUUUUCAUCUAAGAAAUUCCACAAGAAAUUGAUUUUUUCCUCUUUAUUUUAGCUUCAAAUUAGUUCAGCAUUCAUAUACACAAAAAAAAAAAAUACAUACAGAAAUGAAAAACAACAAAAAAAUUUCACUUAGUCAUUGUUUUUGGAUAGAUUCUGGAUUUUUCUUUGGGAUUCUGCCUUACAGCUUGGUUUGAGGUUUAUUUUGAGUUGAUCUUGGUUUGUUCUUGCUGGGUCGUGGUUUUUCUGCUUGUUUUUUUCAAGCUCCUGGGGUUUCAAAAGGAGUUUUGGGGUUUUAAAAGUAUUCUUGUGGGUUACUGCUGGGUAUUAGCUGUUUGUACCGGAUUAUUUGACUGUGUUGAACUAAUUCCAAUCGUUGAAUUCACUUUGGCCUGCUGCUGUUGCAUUGAUUUGCUGACCUUUUCCUCCAUUCUCUUAUUUUACUCCCAUUUCCAGGUAUACUCUUGAAUCUUCCUGAUGUAGCCUUGAGUUGAAGUGAACUGGCAGUUGGGUUCAAACUCAGACAAUUUGCGUUGUCAUGUGGAAAUGGUCAAAUGAAAUAAAUGCUUAAGUUCUUGUGAUUGUGUAAUAGUACUGUUUAUUCGUCUGAUAUUAGCUUCUGUAUAAAUUCUUAGCUUCAGAAAUGACAUUAAGCUGAAGGUGGACUCUGAACGAUUAAGCUGUAAUAGGACUGCUUUAAGACUGUUGAAAUCUGGAUUAUGAAUUGAAUGUGAUUGCAUGUGAGUGGGUGAGUUAGUAAUAAGAGCAGCAUAGCUUAAUAUGUUGUUGUCAGUUAUAAAACUGGUUUAGAUAGCUUGGUAUUUUAAUGUUGAAUUUGACAUAUCCAGUUUUCUGCCUAGAUGUUAGUGGUGAUAUCAAACUCAUGUAUUAAUCAUUAAUUAAAACUGUAUAACAUUGAAGACCUAAGGAAAGUGUAAAUAAGAACAUGAAAUGAGAAAAGUGAG
rnacentral:lncRNA from 1 species